GAAUUACAGCGCGGGCUCGGGGCGGCCGUGGGGCUAACAGCCCGGCCGGACGGGCACCUGGAGCAGCAGGACCUGCCUGCCUUCCGCCGGGUGGCACUUGCUGGCGUGCCGCGCCAGCCCGGGCGCGCUGAAGAAGGUGGCGGGGCACUGCUUGCAGGGGAAGCCCUGCCGCUCGUCGCCCGUCGCCCCGCCGCCCUCGGGCCGCCCGGGCGGCGGCGGCGGCAGCAGCAGCUCGUCCCGCACGGCGUGCCACAGCCGGUGCUUGUCCCUGAUGUCCGCCGAGGGGAAGCGGGCGCCGCACAGGUGGCAGCCGAAGGAGAGCUGCCCGCGCUCGGGCGGCCCGAGGGGGGCGGGCCGCGGGGCGCCGUGCGUGCCCAGGUGCUUGCGGAGGUAGGCCUGGCGCCGGAACCGCUUCUGGCAGCACGGGCACGAGAACGACUCCGCGCCGGGGGCCGCCGCGCCGCUGUCCGCGCCGCCGAGGUGCUGACGGGGCGCCGGGGGCUGCGGGGCGGCGCGGGGCCGCCGCUCGGGGCUGUUCUCCUUGCCCGGCGGAGCGGAGGCGGCGGCGGCGGCGGGACCCUCGGCGCUGGGGCCGGGCCGCGGCUUGUGCCAGCGGCGGUGCGAGGCCAGGUUGGCGGGGCAGCUGAAGAUCUUGUGGCACUCGGGGCAGCGGUACUCGACGCGCACGAUGCGGGAGCAGCGGUGCUGGGCCAGCGCCAGCGGGUCGGCGUAGCGCUCCUUGCACAGCUGGCAGAUGAACUCGCCCAGCGGCGUGCGGCCACCCGGCGGCUCCGCGCCCGGCCGCCCCUCGGGACCCUCCUCCUUGAUGCGCAGCCCCAGCACGGGCGAGGUGGUCACCUCGUCGGCGAAGCUCAGCUUCCGCGUGGCCUUCGCCUUCUUGGCCGGCGCCUUGGCCCGCGACGGCCGCUUCAGCGCGGGGACGGGCGGCGGCGGGGGCGCGGGCAGCGGCGUGCGGGGCGGCGGCGGCGGCUUCUCGGGCGGCGGGAAGGCGGCGGCCAGCGGGAAGGACUCGGCGGAGGCGGGGGAGCUCAGGCACCGCUCGAAGAACGCCGCCCGCGGCCCCGCCGCGCCGCACGGCCCCCAGCCGCCGCACGGACCCUCCGGAUGACCGAGCCCGGCGCCCCCGGCCCACGUCGCGGCGGCGGGCGCGGGCGCGGGGCGGGCGGCGGCAGCGUUGCCCCCCUCCUCCUCGCCCUCCUCCUCCUCCUCCGCCCCCGGCCUAGCGGCGGGGCCGCCCUCGGAUGCGGCGGGCGGCGGUGGGGGCGGCGGGUCCCGCUCCCGGGGGCGCGCCCGGUAGGAGCCGCCGGGACGCCGGCUGCGCUUGACGAGGAAGCCGCGCGGCAUGGCGAGGUGGAGGACGGCGGGAACGGAGCCCUCGCUGCUUUAUACCCCCGGCGCCCGCUCCCGCCCGGCCGUCAUCCUCCCUCCGGCGUCGGCGGCCAAUGA
rnacentral:lncRNA from 1 species